rnacentral:piRNA from 1 species
UGAGUUGCUGCUUUCCUGAUGAGGGGACA